CAGGAGUGUGUGUGCAGUCUGAGUCUGCGUGAGUUCCCCUUCCCCCACCGUUCUCCUGCGGCGUGAGAGUACGAAUGGGAGAAGGCUGCAUUCCUCAGCUCGCCUCUUUCUCCAAACUGUUGCUGGGAGGGGCAGGAGCAACAUCACUCCAGCAUGCUCUAGUCCAUGAGGAAAUAUCAUGACACCCUGUGGUGCACUGCUGAACUUUUGGGAACUGGCAAGCCUGAAUCAGAAGUGCUACUGGUCCAUGAAGAUAUGCCUCUAGAAAGAAUAUCAAGUACUGGCCCAACAGAACCGUGGAAAAGACUGCCUAUAAUUGCCUUUAUUGCCUUAACAUUCUGCACUGUGGUGGGUAUUGUACAUGCAUCGUGAAGUACAUUGUAUUUUGAGCCACCAAACUGCAGGAGCUCGCUUCCUACCUGCUCAGUCAUUGGUUCAUGCUGUGAAGGGGUUGGAGUGUAGUGGAUUUCCUAGGUCACAGUCUGAACCAAUGGGUGAGCACGUGAGUGCCUGGAGCGGGGGGGGGGGGCUAGAGUCACCCCUUCUGUCUCAGGGAUGCUUCUUGGAGCGCGUGUGCAGUCUGAGCCUGCGUGCGUUCCCUUUCCCCCGCCCUUCUGCAGCGCAAGAAUGCGAACAGGAGAAGGCUGCGUUCCUCAGCUCGCCCCUUUUUCCAAACUGUUUUUUGGAGGGCUGAACAGCCUCAUAUAAAUUUAAGAGUGCAACAGAUGUUUCUGCUGGCUCAUUUAGACUGCUUAUCCUCACAUUCCUCUCAGCUGAUGAGGUGCCCUUCUAUGUUACAAGGAAUUCCUUUUACAUCACAGUGGUAGAGCUGGUUAAAAACACCAUCUGCUCUCAUAAAUGCCUGGACUGUGUUUAGCCACACUAUUCAAAAACUUGAGAAUAGCUACUGAAAGCUGGAGAUGAACCCUUGAAGUACACUGGAUGACAUCCGAACACAUCCAACAGUUAAGUGAAGGACCAAGUACUAUAAAAAGUCAAGGGUCACAGCCUGAACCAAUGGGUGGGCUCUGUGAGUGUGUGAGUGCGGCGGCGCAGUGGUACGAGCGGGGGAGGGACACAUUCCUCAGCUCGGCUCUGCCUGCGUGCUGCUACCGGGAGGGGUGAGUCGAUUCUUUUUGAUAUCUUUCCCUCGUGUGCCUAUUUCUUAAAUAAAGGCUUUGUCAUUACCUUCAUUUGCUCUACAGCUACAUAUUACCUACAAAAAAUAAUCCACAGAAAGGAGAUCAGUGACUCUUUCCCAUGGCCUGAGGAAGCUCUUGGAAUUAUAUGGACAGAAGUAGAAGAGAGUCACUUCCUUGGCCUGUCCUAUAGCCACAGAGACUCCUGUUGCAUUUUCCAAGCUGCAAACUAAGGACUAAGCAACCUCUGCCCUUCCUGCAGCCAGCACUCCCCUGAUGUAGUCCAGUGUGUGUACAGGGAACCUUGGACAGCUCUUAGCUCUCUCACCCACUGCUCCUUUCUGUACUCAGCCCAAACACAGAAACCAGAUCACACAAGUUUUCAGACCACAGAUCACAUGUUCUAGCUCUUUUGUACAACACAUGUCCAGAGACAGUUUAAUAAUACUUUCAUCAGAGACUUACAGGCACUUACAUAAAUGGUUCAGCUUUCUCAGCUGUAGGCACCAUUUUUGACAGAACUCAUCUUAGUAUAUUCACAUGAAAUACAGAAAUGAGUUGAAGUAUUUGUGUCUUUAAAAUGAGGAGAAGAAAAAGCCAGUCUGAACUCAAAUACCUUGGCUUACCAAUAUCACAUUUUUUUUUAACUAUUUACAGACAUUUUAAAAACACUACUUACAUGCCCCAAAAUGAUGCUUUUAAACAUAAUUCCAACUACAGUUAGCUCAAAUUAUCUAAGCUUUUUUUUCCCCCGAGUAUAGCAAAGUAAUGCCUCUCAAAUUUAAUUUACAUAAUAAUUAAGCUAGAUUUCUCUGAAGACUCAUACAAUAUAAUCCCUAUUUUAUCAAUAAAUAGAUGGUUGUUGCAUAUUUUACAAUUUAUACAGAAUUGUAUGGAAUGUACUAAAGGAUAUUAACUAUGGCAUCACUUACUGACCACAUCAUACAAAUAUCACUUGUGGGUUAGAGCUCAUGAGAUUUUAAGGAGUUUUUAAAAACAUUUAUCAAUAAAUAAACAAAAUACUUUUUAUGGAGUCUGAAAAUUAAGAAAUUGAGAUUGAGGAUGUGGUGCAUCAGGAAUUAUGAUACAGGAUACAAAAUCAUUCUUCCAUUGAAUGCCACUGAUCUGACAGUUUUUUAUAAUGCAGAAAAUAGCUUUUGUACCUGAAACUUGUCAAUGCCAUCAACAGAGACAAGUGAGGCGUUAUCAGAUGGACAUAGCAUGGAAUGCCUUUUCUGUUUAAGGUCUAAGGAUACAGUUUGCACAUGGAAGCCUAUCAGUAAUUGUAGCUGUGGAACUAUUCAUUUCACAGGUUACAUUGGUACUGCUCAAAAUUAUCUCAUCCCAAUGUUUUCCUACAGUCAGUGAAAAUCAUAGCCUGAAACAAUUUAAACCUUUUGAGGGAAACAACAACAAAGUACAACAGAAUAACCCCCCUCUAACCUACCUCAACUCUUUCACCCAUAUGAAUGAGUAGAGUAUUUGCUAUGAGCAUAUUACAGUUCAAAGGAGUUUUUUUCUUCAGAAUUAUCCAUCAUCAACAUUUCACUAAUUUGCACAAUCAUCCUAACUCCAUAAGCAUACUCCUCCUGGUGCAGAGACAAAUUCAGACAAAGGAGAUCACCUUCAAAAACCAUUAAAAAAUUGGGGAGAUGAGUCAACAUUUGUAUAUUUUUGAUCUUUCUAUAAUUUUAGAUUAAAGAGGACUGUUUAUUUCCACACAAAAUUGAGAUCACUGGUCUGACUGGUUUCACAGAGCGUUUCAGAUAAACUACAUUUUCUUUACACUACAUGCUACAGCUUCCUUUGGUGGGGAGAAAAACAGAAUGACAGUAGUGAAGGGAACACAGCCCAUAUUCCAGUCUGAUACAUUACUAAGCCACACUUCCACUGUUUGCAAUAUUAUUAGAAGUGCUGUUUCGCACAGUCACUGGUGCCAGAGGACUCAAAAUCAAAUCUGAAGUCAUUAUAUAAAAAUGAUACUGCAGAACUCAAUUUUAACUUCAUUAAAGUAACAAAAUAGCUGACAAAUGGAGCCAUCCACUCUGAUGUGUCUCAGCUUCAAAUAACGCAUAAAACAAUUGGAAACUCAGCCUUAGGGCUGCUGCUGCUGCUUUAAAGUAGUCAGUAGUACUGACAGAGUUAAAAACACUGAAAUGUAACACUACAGAAUUAAAAAGUUAACAAUAAGUCAUGAACCUAACUAAAAUGCAGGUUGAAGUCAAAAGAACAUGAUUAAGACUACAUGGAACCUUGAGCAGUGUUUGAAAGGGAAAGAUGAAGUCUUUUGUUAGGACAGCACAAAGCAAGGACAGCACAGCGUCCCCAGAAGGAUUACACAGCCCUGAAUGAUUUCAGGAAGUUAUGAAAUAAUUUUAGCAAAGAACAACACACAGCACAUACAUUUAAUAAAUUUUCAUCAACUGGCAAACUAUAACAUUAUCAACCUGUUUUUUCUACCCAUUUAUAAAACUGAUCAAACCCACUUCAGAGCAUGUACAUCCUAAAAUCUGCUGUGGCAUAUAUCUUAUUUCUGCAUCCUGUAACUUUAAUUAUUUUAAACUUGCAUCUAAAUAGCUGAAGACAAAUGCUUCAGAACAUGACUUUCACAGUGUAAAACACUGCUGCUUAUUACAGAGUAAACCAAAUUCAGGUUGUAUUUUCCUCUUCAAUAUCUGAUCUUUUAAACUACUCACGUGCUUUACAAGCUUCAGAUAAACUACAUUUGUUAUUUGUUACCUCUAGAAACAAGAAGUCAAAUAUCUGUCCUUUCUUUGAAAGCUUUUUGUGUACUCCUUAUACAGCAUUGGCCUAUCAAGAAAGUAGUCCAGGCUUGGUUGUAGCAUUGCUUCAACAUCAUCAACAGGAAAAAAAAAAAAAACCCAACACAAAAAGCUCUUUCCUUAUUAAAAUUAAUAACAAUAACUAGCCAUCUCUGGAAAACCACAGGAAUUAGAAAUUUUAAACCAACCAGUUUGACAGCAUCCUCUAAUUUCACUGCCUUCUACACAGGCCAUUCUGACUUCACAACUCAAAUAUAUGUUUAAGGGGAAGAAAAGCACACUUCUAAACUACAAGCAAGAUUUUAAAUUAGUCAAAAGUAUUCAUAUUUUAUUCCUUUCAGUCUAUUUGUACUAUUAAAAAUACCACUGUUCCAAUUUCACAUUAAUCUAAUUUAUACAGACUUAAUAAUUGAUGCAGCACAUUUCCUUUUCAAAUAUUGUUCAUACCCCUGUCCCACAGGCUUUUCAAAAAUAUGCAUAUGGCUUAUAGUUUCCAUAAAGUCACAUGACAUACUUUAAGGAUAUCUCCUAUCAAAAAUUGAGGGCUUACUCCAAAUCUGACAGCUUACUCCAAUCUGACAGGAUCCCAAAAAACACUCCUCUAGGAAGAAUUUAAGCUUAUUAGUACUCUUUUACUAGAUUGUUCAAAAAAAAAAAAGUACCUUUUCUGCUCAAGUGUUCAUCUAUUUCUUCUCUCAUGCAACACUUGAAGUCACAGUUCUGUUUAUGAGACUGCAAUCAAUUCUUCAGUAGUCAAUUAGAGUAUCUCAAAGGUGUAGGUUUUGGUGAAUAAUAAAGCAAUCAAUUUGAGCUCCUGCAGUCUUGUUCUUAUUUUAGUAUUUCUGAUAAUUACAAAAUAAAUACUCAGAAAGCCAGUUCCUACAUCAUAUUUUAUUAGUGGGAUCAAAGGCAGACUUCUAACACAAGCACUGCUAGCUGAGUUGUCACUGUAAUACUCACUGCAGAUUAAUCAAGAACAAUUUUACCUGCACCAGUGUUCACUGCAGUUCUAGAACACAAGAGAACUCUGCCAGAAGUUUUGAUUUAUGCUGACUGUUCAGUGGCCUGCUGGGAUUCUUACUCAAGUAAGAAAUAAAAUGAAAAAAUUGUUGCCAAUGAGAAAAAAAAAUACUAUAAUUGCAAUUUUUUUUAAGGUAAUGUUUCAGAAUUUCAAACACAAAAAACACCAAAUAGAUAUUAAGAGAAAUAUUACAGAAACUUCAAAGCUAAUAUAUAAUGGAAACAUAUAUAUUAAUUAGCAUCUAAUUCUUUUCCUUUGGUACUUAAAUCUGCAGCAUUACAGUCAUUUUACCAAAAUCAGAAAUCAGACAUGUUGCUUGGUUUCCAUAACCACUUUCUCUUACUAAUCCAAAAUGUACUCCUGAACCCAUAAGAUAGAGCAUGAUCCUCACAGGUGAAUAUUUAUAGAGAAUAAUGAUGGAAUCUGGUCGCAUUUUGAUAAAAAUUGUGCUGAAAGAGUCGCCUGAUGUUCUCAAUGAAGACAGCAGCAGUACAAUUACCUUGUAGUAACUUCUUUUAACACUAAAAACUGACAUGAAAUUGUCUUCAUGAAAUCCUUUCAUUAUUCCCUGGAACAAUGCUUGAGGCAUUAUGCCUGAUUCUGUCAUUAUCACAGCUCUACAUCUUAUAAAUGUAAACCAGGAGUAGAAAGAGAGAUGGUGAAUGAUAUUAAAAUCUGCCAUUUUGAGAAUAAUGUUCCAAAACAGAUCAAAGUGCUUGGAUGAUGCCUCCCAGUUCUCGCAGCUUUCAGUAUCAGUUUAUAAUGUCACCAACAAUUUCACUGCAUAGAAUCAAAAAAAGGCAGGUCCUCCUGUUCUCCAUUUUGGCUCAUUGAGAAGAUAUAGCUCAUCAGAAUGUUGAACCCGGUCCAUUGUUUCAAUUGCUUUAAAGCUAGAAAAAGAAGCAUCCUUCCUAAAUUAUUCCUCUUUGCCUCAUGCAUUUCGGCUCUGCAUCUCUAACACUAGAAUCCCAAACUAUUUCCUCAUAUUACAUGCAGCCUGGCAGAAGCAAAAAUACAGUUAUUAUUUUCUAUGUAGUUUUCACAACACAAAAGCAUUAAAGCUGCUCUUGUGAAAAGAUAUUCUCAAAAGCAAUUUAGUUUACAGUGCUUUUCUUCCACUUCUUGUCUCCUUUCUACACUUUUUGCAGUUACCCAGCUAAAGAGGAGAACGUGCCAGCUCCAUCUAGUUCAUAGAUUACAGCUAUCCUUUGGAAGCAGAGGUAAAUUCAUUUUUUUGCAUUAAGAAGCUAACUGAAGUGAGGCUUGCAUAAAGCAUGGAGCUAGAGCCGUACAUGUGACGUACAAAAGUAAAGAGCUCAGCAAGGCCUACAGAUUCUACACUGGACACUAAAACUUCUAAACACUAAACUUUUACAAAAUUCAAAAGCUUUUAUUUCUCUCACUGUAAUUCCAUGUGAAGUUCUGCUCAGAAUUCAGUGAAACUUAAAAUUUAGAACACCACCAACACACAAAAGCCAUGGAGAGCAAGCAGAGAAAUCUACUGCACAUAGUUUGAAACAAAGCAGAAAAAGUUUCAAAAAUGAAAACCCUAACCCAGAAGUACCCCAUGUGAGAGCUCUUCAGGUCCAUUUUUAUUGUAUUUGAUUCUUCUUGAAAAGACUGCUCAGGGUUAAAAAGCUUAUUCGGAACCUUUUCGACAAUAUGGCUCUAUUUGUUUAAUUUUCAUAGGUAGAAUCCAUCUGUAGUCUUAGUAUUUAACUAUAAUUGGAUGAUAUUUAUUCAGCUAGAACAUUUUUUUCUGACAUUUAUAUUACCUCAAAGGACAACGCCACCUUUAGAAAUUCUAUUUCAGAUUGAGCUAAUAGAACUUUUGAAGGCAUGGAAAUCUUUUCAUGAAUCAGCAUGGUUGAUUAUGACUUUGAAGGGGUAACGUAUCACAGAAAUUGACUUUUUUCAGCCUCAGUGAAAAGGAAUCAAUUUGCAUGAAGAAAUAAAUUAAUUCUAGGCAAGGCAGAUCCCUAGAGGUACAUUCUCUAAAUGUUGAACUCCCACAACACACACAUUUUGAAGACAGCUUUUUUGUCUUUAUGGAGAGGCUAAAGCUAUUCUAAGCUAAAAUUCAUUGCUUUUACUGAUUAUCUCAAUCUAAUAAUGAGAACAUUUGAAGAACUAGAAUGUAUUGCAAUAUAUACAUUAUAUACUCAAGGUAAAUCAUUAAGCGUAUGGGGAAACUGAAAGGCUCUGGAAAGUCUCUGGUGAAACUGUGGAAUAUAAACCAAAUUACCUGUAAUUAAUAGAGCUUCUUAUUUAGAAGUCAUUAAUCUAAAUGCAGGUCACGUGAAGUAGAAAACAAGCAUUAAAUACAAUUUCCUAAGUGAAAAGAAUGGGUAUUCUCUGACCAGCAGUCAGCAGCAAUAUACACUGUUUACAAGAGUACGAAAUAGCUGCAGAAAACAGUGCAUGAUUCAUGGUGAUGUAACAAGUCUGUUUCUUCUGCUAAGAAUAAAAACUAUCCUUUUAACUACCUCCUAGAAAGUCCACCAUCAGUUUAAAAAGAAAAAGAAAAGCAAGUUGUUAUAUGCUAUGCAACACUAUUAACAUGAAAAUUAAAUAGGUUCCAAAUCCUUUAACUGCGGUACCACAGAGGCUCUUUCUAUACAUGCUCAAAUGCCUAAAAAACUUUAUCUAAAGUAAAAUUAGGCACUGCAAUACCAGAUAGUAAUUACAGUCAGGCAUCCCAUCCCAUAGCUGAAGCCUGAGUUCUUCUGAGGUUCUGGCUUUAAAAAAAAAAAAUGUAUGCUAUUCCUUUGUAUGCAAACUUGAUGCACAAAAUUAAGCUUUCCAUGGCAUGGAAAACAAUGCAUUAAGUUAGGCCACAUAAUAUUCAGAGAAUAGGAACGUCAUUUUUGUUCUAUAGGAAAAGUCUAUUCAAAAGCUAUUUGGGAUCAAACACAUUGGGUAUUUCAGUUACUUUGGCAGUUUGAGAAAAUAUAACAGCUGGAGAAUUUGACAAGCCUCUUUAUAUAGUAUUUACACACGCUUUUAGAUAUCAUAUUUUCAUCAGUAACAGAAACUUCUUUGUUUCAUAGAAAAAUGUAACUACUCCUCCACCAUAAAUUUUAGUGAAAAUAGAAUAUGAAAGAGUAAGUACUUGCCAACACUAAUAUUAACAGCCUUCCCUUUCAAUAUACAGAAAUACAAUUUUACAGUCCAUUCAGCAUAAGGAUGAAAGAUUGCUAGAGUUUACUAAAAGAGUAUAAGUUACUCAGUAUGCUCUCAUAAAAUAUCCCCAAGGACUACAAUUAGUCUUAGGCUGAUUGGAUUUGGAAAAAAAGCCUAAAACUGUCAUUUAAGUAAGGCUGGAAAGGAGCUUCCAAAGGAAGAGAUUGGUUGCAAAAGAUUCUCAUAGCUCUUCGUCUUGGGUUAAGGCUCAACUGAGUUCCUAAGCUUAGAGUUGAGAAGAAAGGCAGUUCUUACAGUUGCAGCAUGAGUAGGGCUAGAAGGGCUCCAAACAAGGGAAGGCUGCCAAAACAAAUUCCUCUGGGUCCUGAUUGGUAGUCUUGGGUAAAGAUUCACUGAGGACUUCAGGUUAAGCUUGGCAGAGAUAUUCUAGAGCUUCAGCGUGAGUAGGGCCAGAAAGGGGCUGCCAAUGGAAAUCUCCCCCAACAGCUUCCUCCUCUUGACCAUAGCUGGUGGUCUUGGGUUCAGGCUACAGUUGGGAUUGGUAAUAGGUUUUAAAAAGAGAGAUUCCAGAGCUCUCUCAGAGUUCGUCUCAUAAUAUGGUUCUGUGUGUUACUGUACUAAUCUAACCAAAUUCACAAGAGUUUCCUAUUGCCCUCAAUUCUUCAGUGGCAUCUCAAUUUUGUUAAAUGUCCCUUUCACAUCAGCACAAACAAGCUCAUGGACAUUUUCAUGAGAAUGAAAUCCUGAACUCUUUCCCCCUACAUACUUCAGCAUUCUCACAACCUGAGGAUUAAAUUUUCCUAAAUAUUUAUAGCUCUGUAGAGAUACAAUCUUACUAAUGAAUGACCGAAGAUCAGAAGGAAGAAAAAAAAAUCCUGAAAUUGGAGCUAGCAGCCAAUUUUUGUUUUUUAAUAAAACACCCAAAUCCUAAUUCUCUUUUAAGAAACUUAUAGUUUUAUUUUUCACUCCCUUACAUCUCUGUAGAUCAGGAAUAACUCAUGGAGAAUGGGAAAACUCAGAUCAAGUCAAACAUUAAAGAUUAUAAUACAUUACCAUCAAAAUUGAAGCAAAGAGAAUAAAUUAGUUUGGGAAAGCAAUGCCCAAUCAGCUGACAUUGUACAGAGAGUAAGAACCCCCUACUUGUUCAUUCUUAUACCUUUUAUGAGUAAUAAGAUUUCAAAAAUAAACUCUAGUGGCGCAGAAUAAUACUUCAGUAUAUAUUUGUAUGAACUAAUUUCUAUUCUCUUCAUAAGUUAUGUACAGUUAUAUUGACUUAUUGUUUCUGUCUCCUGGCUAGUUAUCCUCUUUCCCUCUGUGUAUAUUUUACUACUCAAGACAGUAAGAAAGAUAUAAAAAGCUAGGUAAGAAAAUUACAUACAACUGAUAUUUUAUAUAAUCAAAGAAUUGUUUGAAUUGGAUGGAAACCUUAGAGGCCAUCUGGUCCAAAUCCCCGGCAAUCAACAGGAAUAUCUACAGCUAAAUCAGGUUGCUCAGAGCCCCCAUCAGCCUGAUCUUGAGUGUCUAAAGGGAUAGGGCAUCCACCACCUUUCUGGGCAAUCUUUUUCCCGUGCCUCACCACCCUCACUGUAAAACACUUUCUUUAUAUCCAACCUGAAGCUCCCCUCUUUUAGUUUGAAACCCUUUUCCCUUUUCCUGUCACAAAAGACCCAGCUAAAGAGUCUGUCCCCAUCCUUCUUAUGGAUCCCCUUUACAUACUGAAAGACUACUCUCAGGUCUCCCCAGAGCCUUCUCUUCUUCAGGCUGAACAACCCCAGCUCUCCCAGUCUGUCCUCAUUGGGAAGGUGGUUCCAUCCCUGGGAUUAUUUUUGUGGACCCCCUCUGGACGUGCUCCAGCAGGUCCAUGUCUCUCUUGUCCUGAGGACUCCACAUCUGGCCACAGUACUCCAAGUGAGGCCUCACCAGUGCAGAGUAGAGAGCAGCUGUAUGAUUUCCCUCCACCUGCUGACCACACUGCUUUGGAUGCAGUCCAGGAUGUGGUUGGCUAUUUUUUUUUUUUUUAAACCUUGCUAAGCUU
ensembl:lncRNA